AGCCCAUCGCGUCGGAGCUGAGCAGCCUCCUUUCAUUAUUUUGCAUAGGGGAAGUGGCAGAGAGGGAAACGUUUCGUCCAACAUGCAGCCCAUGACUGUUCCUGCAUCUUCCCAUGCCUCACAUGGACCGAUGAGAAAGCUGCAAGUAUGACACAGAAAGAGGGAAGAACCAGGAAGUAAAAUAAGCCUGAGAGGUUCAUCACCUGUACUGACAGAACAGACCCUUGGGUGAACCAACUCUCUUUCGCCGGAGUUUACACAUAAACACAUCCAUCAUGCAGGUGGAAAUACGGGCCUGGGAAGAGGGUAAAUAAAUAUCCCUGCAAUGGGGCCCUGAACAUUUUGCAAACAGUGGAAUCUUUCACCCAAACUUGGACUUGAACAUUGUGUGGAUAAAAAUAACUUCCUGUUAACAAUUAAAGCGGAAUCUUUCUCUGUGAAAUGUGUGAAAGGAGUGUACUUUUUCAACUUUUAGGGAUGGAAUGAAGGACAGACUCCUGUAACCCCACAUAUCACAGCAUGUAAAAAAGAGGCAUACUUUACCUCUUCUUUGAAAUAUGUUUUAAAUUGUGAAAGUUCUUUACACCCGUGGAAAUAUUCUGUAUUGCUAUAAAACCCAAAAUACUGGACAUCAUACUAUGAUGUCUGUGUAUACAGCUAGGAAUAGUCCAACAGCUGGUCUAGAUGUUGCCGGUUCAGUCUUCAAGACAACAAGAACUUCUCACAUAACCCAAGUCCUUGUACUUUAAAGAGAACGCUUAUUAUUGUUUUAUUGGGUGCUGUAACCCUUCCUGGUUAAAUAAAGGUUAAAUUGUCA